GACGUAGGGCGCGAGCGUUGUCCGGAUUUAUUGGGCGUAAAGAGCUCGUAGGCGGUUUGUCGCGUCUGCUGUGAAAACUCGAGGCUCAACCUCGGGCUUGCAGUGGGUACGGGCAGACUAGAGUGCGGUAGGGGUGACUGGAAUUCCUGGUGUAGCGGUGGAAUGCGCAGAUAUCAGGAGGAACACCGAUGGCGAAGGCAGGUCACUGGGCCGCAACUGACGCUGAGGAGCGAAAGCAUGGGGAGCGAACAGG
rnacentral:rRNA from 1 species